rnacentral:tRNA from 1 species
UCCCAAGAAGCUGUUGUUGGUUAUAGCACUUGCCUUGUAAGUAAGAGACUCUCAGUUCGAUUCUGAGAUUGGGAACCA